CAGUAGCCGCGGUAAUGCGUAGGGUGCAAGCGUUAAUCGGAAUUACUGGGCGUAAAGCGUGCGCAGGCGGUUUGUUAAGACAGAUGUGAAAUCCCCGGGCUCAACCUGGGAACUGCAUUUGUGACUGGCAAGCUAGAGUGUGGCAGAGGGGGGUGGAAUUCCGCGUGUAGCAGUGAAAUGCGUAGAUAUGCGGAGGAACACCGAUGGCGAAGGCAGCCCCCUGGGCCAACACUGACGCUCAUGCACGAAAGCGUGGGGAGCAAACAGGAUUAGAUACCCCUGUAGUCCCUGUCUCUUAUAC
rnacentral:rRNA from 1 species